UACGAAGGGGGCUAGCGUUGCUCGGAAUUACUGGGCGUAAAGGGCGCGUAGGCGGCACGGCAAGUCAGGAGUGAAAGCCCGGGGCUCAACCCCGGAACGUCUUUUGAAACUGCCGAGCUAGAGUGCGGAAGAGGCAACUGGAAUUCCCAGUGUAGCGGUGAAAUGCGUAGAUAUUGGGAAGAACACCUGAGGCGAAGGCGGGUUGCUGGGCCGACACUGACGCUGAGGCGCGAAAGCCAGGGGAGCGAACGGG
rnacentral:rRNA from 1 species